AGUUGAUCCUGGCUCAGAUUGAACGCUGGCGGCAUGCCUACACAUGCAAGUCGAGCGGCAGCGCGGGGCGAACCCUGGCGGCGAGCGGCGAACGGGUGAGUAAUACAUCGGAACGUGUCCAGUAUGGGGGAUAACCAGUCGAAAGAUUGGCUAAUACCGCAUACGAUCUACGGAUGGAAGCGGGGGACCGCAAGGCCUCGCGCUAUUGGAGCGGCCGAUGUCGGAUUAGCUAGUUGGCGGGGUAAAAGCCCACCAAGGCGACGAUCCGUAGCUGGUCUGAGAGGACGAUCAGCCACACUGGAACUGAGACACGGUCCAGACUCCUACGGGAGGCAGCAGUGGGGAAUUUUGGACAAUGGGGGCAACCCUGAUCCAGCCAUGCCGCGUGAGUGAAGAAGGCCUUCGGGUUGUAAAGCUCUUUCGGCGGGGACGAAACGGUCCGUGACAACACCACGGACUAAUGACAGUACUCGCAGAAGAAGCACCGGCUAACUACGUG
rnacentral:rRNA from 1 species